rnacentral:rRNA from 1 species
GCGCAAGCCUGAUGCAGCGACGCCGCGUGAGGGAUGACGGCCUUCGGGUUGUAAACCUCUUUCAGCACAGACGAAGCGCAAGUGACGGUAUGUGCAGAAGAAGGACCGGCCAACUACGUGCCAGCAGCCGCGGUAAUACGUAGGGUCCGAGCGUUGUCCGGAAUUACUGGGCGUAAAGAGCUCGUAGGUGGUUUGUCGCGUUGUUCGUGAAAACUCACAGCUUAACUGUGGGCGUGCGGGCGAUACGGGCAGACUAGAGUACUGCAGGGGAGACUGGAAUUCCUGGUGUAGCGGUGGAAUGCGCAGAUAUCAGGAGGAACACCGGUGGCGAAGGCGGGUCUCUGGGCAGUAACUGACGCUGAGGAGCGAAAGCGUGGGGAGCGAACAGGAUUAGAUACCCUGGUAGUCCACGCCGUAAACGGUGGGUACUAGGUGUGGGUUUCCUUCCUUGGGAUCCGUGCCGUAGCUAACGCAUUAAGUACCCCGCCUGG